AUACGUAGGGUGCGAGCGUUGUCCGGAAUUACUGGGCGUAAAGAGCUCGUAGGUGGUUUGUCGCGUCGUCUGUGAAAUUCCGGGGCUUAACUCCGGGCGUGCAGGCGAUACGGGCAUAACUUGAGUACUGUAGGGGAGACUGGAAUUCCUGGUGUAGCGGUGAAAUGCGCAGAUAUCAGGAGGAACACCGGUGGCGAAGGCGGGUCUCUGGGCAGUCACUGACGCUGAGGAGCGAAAGCAUGGGUAGCGAACAGGAUUAGAUACCCUGGUAGUCCAUGCCGUAAACGGUGGGCGCUAGGUGUAGGGGUCUUCCACGACUUCUGUGCCGUAGCUAACGCAUUAAGCGCCCCGCCUGGGGAGUACGGCCGCAAGGCUAAAACUCAAAGGAAUUGACGGGG
rnacentral:rRNA from 1 species